CCGUAACUCUCCCUCUCUCUGCCGUAACUCUCCCUCUCAAUUCUCCCUCGAUUCACUCUCUCUGAAAUAAUCUCUUUUCUCUACUCUUGAUUUUCCCACUGACGAUCUUCUCCCCCAGUUCCCUCUCUACUCUCUCGAUUUCUACUCUGUGUGUGUGUGUUUUCAAAUUUCCAGUGAAUGUAUUCUCACUAAUACCCCCAUCGCUGUGUUGUUGCUGUGUAUAUCUUGUAGUGUGUAUUUCAAUGGAGAAUUGGAGUGUAUUGUGUGUUGUUGGUUGCUGUCUUUUCUCCCCCUCUUUCUUUUGCCAGCCGUCUGUGUGUACACGGUGAGGUUACUUGAGAGAGUUUUUGUAUGAAUUGAAUUGUGUGUGUGGUGUAUAUUUUGUUGCGAGUGUGAUUAAUGGAGGAGUGAGUGGGUGUGGAUGUGUGUGUGUGUCGGUGAGUGGGUGGAAUUAGGAGUUACAGAUCAAAUGUCAACAUAAAUCCAUCCGACGAAUCAAACUAAUAAAAAAAAUAACUUAUAAUUUGAUUUGAUUGGUUUGGUGAUAGAAAAAAAAUCGAUCAUUCUUGAUUUGAUUUGCUGUUAAUCAAAAAAAAAAAAAAAUUCAAACCAAAUUCGAAUCAAACCGAUAUAAUAUAUAUAUAUAUAUAUAUAUAUAUAAUAUUCGAACUUUUUUAUACAUAAAAUAUUAAUUAUAAUCUACUUUUUAAUUUUCAAUAAUUUGAAAGUAAUGUAGAUAUAUAAAAUAUAUAAACUAGCAUACUUAAAUAUUAAAUUACAAAAAAUAAUAAUACUUUUAUCAAAUUACAUUUUGUAGCAUAUGUAUUUGUAUGUAUUUGUAUUUUUGUAGCAACAGUUUGCAAAAUACAAAAUACAUAUCGAUCAUAAGGGUAGUAAAAAUCAUAUGUAUUUGUAUUUUUGUAGCAACAGUUUACAAAAAUAUAAAAUACAACUUGCUAUAUUAUUUAUUAUGAAACCGUUGUUAUGAAACUCAUAAUUAAGGGGAUAAGUAUACUAUUUUUGAAUUUUGCCCAUAAAGUAGCAUACUUAAGUAUUAAAUUUCGAAAAAUAGCAACACUUUUAUCAAAUUACAUUUUGUAGCAUAUGUAUUUGUAUGUAUUUGUAUUUAUGUAACAACAGUUUGCAAAAAUACAAAAUACAUAUCAUUAUAAGGGCUGUAAAAAUCAUAUAUAUUUAUAUUUUUGUAGUAACAGUUUACAAAAAUACAAAAUAUAACUUGUUAUAUUAUGUAAUUAUGAAACUGUUGUUAUGAAACUCAUGAUUAAGGGGAUAAGUAUACUAUUUCUGAAUUUUGCCCUAUAUAUAUUUAGAUUUAGGCCUUUAAGUUAUAAUAUUUAUCCAUUAAUUGCUAAUUAAAUGAUCCAAAACUCAAUAUAAACUUAAAACCUAAACUUUGCACUCUUCAUCUCACUUUUUAGUUCAAGAGAGUUUUUCACUCCUCAUUUUUUCACAAUUAUGAUUUUUCAUUAGCACGUGAGUGAAAACAUAUUUGAUCUAGUCUUCGAUCACAAUAUAAUUGUAAAAACUAAAGAUUAUAAGAAAAAAUCCAAAAAAAUGAAAAAUUCAAAAAAAAUGACUAAAACCUAAACCGAAAAAAUCAAUUUUAUGUUGGUUUGAUUUGGUUUAUAGUUUUAAUAAACCGACAUGAUUGGUUUGAUUUAUUUUUUAAUAAAAAUUGAAUUUACCCGACCUAUGUACACCCCUAGAUGGAAUUAGGUAGGGGUCGAGGUGAGGGUAGGGUAGGAUAAAUAGGUAAAAAUUAAUAUUGGGUAGGAUAAAAUUACAUGUCUACAAUAUUUAUAUCAAAUUAAAAAAAUUUAAUAGUAAGAAUUAAAAAUUGAAGUAAAAAUUAUAUAUACCACUUAACUUGCUUAAGCUAUAAAGUUUACACUAAAAAAACAUUAUUGAACUAUUUAUUUAUUUUGUUGUAAGAAAGAGAUAAGAUUUCUUUUUCUUUAACGACCAAUUAGUCAAGAUUGAUAUUUGUCAAUGAGGUUCACCUUAUUUCUUUUGGGUUAUUUUUUUUCCAUAAAUAAAGGGAUAAGGAGAAAUACAUUUUCAGUUGAUAUGUCUAUAGAAGGCAACGUCAAUAAUUAAUCUGAAACAUGAGAAACGAAAAUAUUGUAAGUACUAGAAUAUCACCAACUUUUAUGGUUUCACUUUAAUAUGUUUCCUACUAGUUUUUAGCAUGGUAUAGGCAUCUUACUAUUACCUUUAAGGGAUNNNNNNNNNNNNNNNNNNNNNNNNNNNNNNNNNNNNNNNNNNNNNNNNNNNNNNNNNACUCAGAAUUAGUUAUCCACUAUGCAUGUGGGAUAACCCAUCCCAUCACUAUGGAGUAAAUGAUGGGGUAAAUAAUCUCAAUACUAACAAAUACUUCAAACCAAACAAGGGAUAAAAUAAUUCUUCCUUUUAUCCCGGGACUAUUUAUCCCUUAUACCUCACACCAAAUGACCCCUUAAGGGUUGUUAUGUUGGGAAUGAGUUAUCCUGGGAUAAUUAAUCUCAGAAUUAUUUAUUUCAUUAUGUAUACGAAUAAUUUAUUUCAUCACUAUGGUGUAAAUGAUGCGAUAAAUAAUGUCGGUACUAACUAAUACAUCACACCAAACAUGCUAUAAAAUAAUCCUUCAUUUUAUCUCAAACUAUUUAUCCCUUAUACCUCACACUAAACGAUACCUUAGUUGUAAUUAGCUCAUGGCAUUUAUUGUAGUAAGCAAAGAAAUUAUGAUAAGCUACAAAUUCAAUAGAAAAAUUCUAAUAUGGUUAAGAUAAUAAAUAUAGAUAUACACAAAAUAUCUGCAUAAAAGAAGCAAGAUUAUAGCAGAAGAGAUUCUAAAUUUAAAGAACAGAAUAUUACAUUAAGGAAAGGCAACAACUACUAAACCAUCACGAGUAGAAGCAACUUUUUGAAGUUCACAACUAAAAGCAUCUUACCGGCCAUUUCAAACACACAUUAAGAACUUUCACAAAAUUAAUAUCAACCAAAGAAUGGAUAAAACAAUAAGUGGCUAGUUAGAAAAGACGGACUAAAUUCUAAUUUCUAAUAAAUAAAUAACCAACUUUAAAAUAUUUAUAAUUAGUUUUAAUGUCCCAACCAGGGCUAACCUCUGAGGCUCCUCUGAGGCCGACAGACCAAGUAAGGUUGGGCUUCUAACCCUCAUUUCUAAAUGGACUGAAAAACUUAGCCCAACUCCACUUAAUUAAAGGGUUGGGUUGGGUCGGUCUCACGGGCCAAAACCAUAUUGACAGCUCUACUCCAUUGUACCUAGAAUUUAUAUGAGUUUACAACUUUAAAUAAACAUUAAGAGAGUUGAUUAGUUUCAUAAUUUCAUACAACUUGAUAUUAUACAGAGGUGUGAAACGUCAAAAAUUUGGUUCAACAGACAAUACCCUUUUAAAUACAACAACAACAACGAAAUAUUCAAUAUAAUUUUAUCUAUUCAAUGUAAUUUCACAAAUCGAGUUCAAGAAAAGUAGGAUAUAUACAAAUCUUCCACCUAUAUUUGUGAGGUAGAAGUGUUGUUUUCAAUGGAUAUUCGACUAUAAGAAAAGAGACAACAAAAUACAUCAAUAGAUAAUAAUAAAUAUUUAAGAAAAUACAAAACUAGGUGAUAAUUAAAUAAUACUACUAAAAAGAUUAAGAGGAGAGAAAUAGGUUAGCCUCCUAGCCGAAAAGUGACAAUAGAGGAAGUUGUAAGAGCAAGAUCAAGACCAAUAAUUUAAAGGUGAUAUAUACAAAUAAAUUAAAUAGUUCUAACCUUACCAAAAUUUUGAAGAUCCUACCAAAAGUACUUUGGAAUCGACAUGAAACUGCCUUGGCCAUCAUUUGCAAUUACUAUGCAGAUUUGCAUCAUUAAUGUCGAACAUAUCUAUAUAGGGCAAGAUUCUUUGAUUUAUGUAUCAUGUAUCAUGUAUUAGAGUAUGAAAAGUUUAUUAGAAUUACAAAGGGAAAAGGACUCCUAGAUUAAUUAUUAUUAACCGAAUAUUUUUAUAUUUAAAAUUAAUUGUCAUAAAAGAAAAUAGUAAAAGACAAUUUAGUCUAUUGCGUAGUCUUUUAAUUAAAAGAGAAAAAUUUAAUUCUCUUUUCUAAGGGUCUUCACAUUUUUAAUAUGAUAUACCUGAUCUAUAUCUAUAUCUAUAAUGUAUAAUCUAUAUCUAUCUAUAGUAUAUUAAAAGCGUGGAGAUUCUUAGAAAAUCAAUUUAAAUUUCUUGCCUUCAUUAAAAGUCUCUCCCUUAGACAAAAUCAUCUCUUCACUAUUCUACAAUUAUUAUCACUACUAGAUGAUGAAGGGACCGAUUUACGGGCCCAAUAUUACAAUUUUAAAUAUAUCUACGGUAUUUAAUUAGUUUAUCAAAAAAUUUAAAUUAAUAUUUUUAAAUAAAUACGACAGAAAUGAUAAUAGAGAUCACAAUUAAUAUAAAAUCAAACAAUAGCUUACAACUUAUUUAAAUUGCCCAAAUUAAAAUUAAAAUAUAAUAUGCUUCAAUGCUUAUUUUAAUAUCGGGUUAAACACACUUUUUUGAAUUAAAUAACUAAUUUUAGUGUUUUUAAUUUUUAAUUUUAUUUGAAAAUUAUACAAGAGGGUAAAUUAAAAUUAUAAGUGUCAGUACAUUAACAUUUUCUAUAAAAUUUUACGAGCAGUAUUUUCUUAAAAUAUAAUCUUCUUUCCUAAUACACCAUAUAAAUAAAGUAAAUAGCGUAUUUAUAUUAAGGAGCAUUGUUUUUAUCCAUAUAAACAUAUCAUAUAUUCAUUUUCAUAAUGAAAUAGUAUAAAAAUACUAAAGAUACAGUAUUGAUAUUUGAAAAUUAUCUAUAAAAAAAUAAAGUACAAAUCAAAUUAAUACUGGUGGAGUUAAAAUUUUAUUAAAGGGAUUAAAAAAGUAUAUGUUAUUUAAUGUUAGUUUAAAGAAAUUUUACAUGCAGGUUAAUCUAUCUAUUAUAUCGUGCUCUCUUCUCCUUUUUAUUUGCUCUAUUUGGGUUAGACACACACAUUAAUAAAUCUUUUACUCCUAUAAAAUUAAAAGUAAUUUCACUAAUAUACUCUUGAUUAAAUUUUAUACCUCUUUCUAAAUCAAUAAUAAUUAUAUUUAUUGGACAAGGGCAUAAUAGGAAGAUUUUGUUCAAACUAUUGUUGAAAGAUUAAAGGAGCGAAUGUUUAGGAAUAUAAGCACAACCCAAAUGGAGCAAAUAAAGUAUUAUAUUAUUUUAUUUUUAAGAUUACAAAUCUCAAUUUUUAUGAAAGCUUACAUACAAAUAUAUUUUUAUUAUAUAGUAAAAGUUCUUUACACUGACCAUUUGAUGCACUUCAAUCUUUUUUUUUUUUAAAUUAUCUUUUAAAUAUAUGUUUUUCGAGUUGAUAUGCACGUCAAUUGUGCUUACACCUACAAUCCAUAAGUGAAUACAAAAAUUGUGUGUUCAAAGGCUUAUAUGAAUAUCACAUAUGUAAUUCUUUUUCAUUUCUAGUAAAACAUUUAUAGACCGAUUUAAUGAUAGUUUUUAUAAAAUUAUUUGAUAAUGAACAAAAACAUAUAUUUAAAUAGGUUAACAACUUAAAUUUUUAUGUGUGAUAGUAUUUUUUGGGCAAAAGACUAAAAUAUUAGAAGCUUGGAGUAUUAAAAUUUUCGGCAGAGUAAGAAUUUUCACUUAAAAAGUUUAAAAUAUAAGAAAAUAAAUAUAUGGAGAAAAAAUUCAACAUUUACCACAUAAAAAUAAAAAAAUAAUUUUAGUUCUCAAUAAACAAUUUAAUAUUUCAUGAAAGGAGAUUAAGAUUAUAAAUUUAAAUUUAUUUAAAAUAUUACUUCAUAAAUAAUGUGAUUGAAUAAGUUGGGACUUGGAAGUAAAAGUGUUGUUAACCACAUAAUGGGUCUAUUGAGAAAAUGUAGACACAUAAGCUAGCAAAAAAAUGGCUAAUGGAAUUUUUGUUAAUAUGACUAUUGACUAAAAAUUAUAUUUUUUAGAUGUGAAAUGAUAUUUAGGCUCUUGAUUGUCCUCCAACUCACAUUUCUAUAUAAUAAUAAAAAAAUAUGUGCACUUAUAUUCACUUUAACAUUAUGUCAAACAAAUAUAUGUGAUAAGAUAACUAAUGUCAUGAAUUAACUUCAUCUGUAUCAUGCAUAUACCAAAUAAGUCCUUAGUGCUACAACAAAAGAGCUUCAAGGAGAAUUUAGAUACAUGAUAAUACAAUGUGCGACCUUAAACAAAAAGAUAACCAUUAAUAAAGAUCAACGCGGUAAAAAUUACAGUAAUUCAAUAAGUUUUAAAGUUAUAUUUUAUAAAUUAUUUUAAUUAAAGGAAAUUAACUAGUAAUACGAUGAUAAAUAUGGGAAUGCAAUUCUACAUAAAUUAUACAUAUUUUAAAUAUUUUUCAAUAAGAAAACGGAUAAUCUUCUUUACCUAAAUAAUAAAUAAAAGUAAAUAACAUAAUGUAUUGUUAGAAGAUAAGAACUAAUUUUGUUAAUAUAGGCUUAUCUUAUAUUGAUUUUCAUAAUGAAACAACAUAAAAUUAUAAAAGUAACUCAGAAAAAUGAAAUAGAAAAAAUAUACAAUUAAAUGAGUUUAUGUGAUAUAUUAUUAGUAUAGAGAAAUUUGACACUAUCAAAUUCAUUGAUUUAAUGUAAUAUGUAAUUUUUCUUAUUUUGAAAAUUUAUAAUUCUCAUCUUUAAUUAAAAAAAUACUUAAAAUUAUCAUUAUAGUAAGAAUUUUUUUACUCUAUAAUAUAUAAGAGUGUUAAUUAAGAUAAUUUAUCAAUUAAGCGUAUAAAUUAUAGUAUCCUCAUAUAAAUUGAAAAAAAACCCAGUUAUCUCAAUUUUUUGGAUUAAAAAAUCAUACUUUAUAAUUAAUUUUAAACAUGGGAAUGUCAUCAAUUAAUUAUGCAAAUCAAAAUUAAUAUCCAAUUUUUUUCUAGAUAUUUCUAUUUUAAUAAAAUAAAAUAAAAUUUUCGCAUACAAAAUUACAUGAGGUCAAUAUCUCAUUAAAAUAGUCUGAUUAUCAAUAUACAAAGUAUUUUAUAAAAAUUUGUGUUUGAAAAAGAUAUAGUAUCUAUCUUAGAUGUCACAUCAUUAGGCACACUUAGCAUUUAUGAAAAGGUGCUUGCUUAUUUUGUUAUUUUGAUCCAUAGCGAACUUUUGAAGUUAUAUCAUACAAAUAAAUAUUCUAAAUUUUUUAUGAAAUGACAAUUUUGCCCUUCGUCAUCCUACAACUCACUUUCAAAGUUAUAUUUUAUAUAAAUCAUUUAAUUAAAGGACAUUAACUGGUAAUAAGAUGAUAAAUAUGGGAAUGCAAUUCUACAUAAAUUAUACAUAUUUUAAAUAUUUUUCAAUAAGAAAACGGAUAAUCUUCUUUACCUAAAUAAUAAAUAAAAGUAAAUAACAUAAUGUAUUGUUAGAAGAUAAGAACAAAUUUUGUUAAUAUCGGCUUAUCUUAUGUUGAUUUUCAUAAUGAAACUACAUAAAAUGAUAAAAAUAACUCAAAAAAAUAUAGUAGAAAAAAUACACAAUUAAAUGAAUUUCUGUGAUACAUUAUUAGUAUAGAGAAAUUUGACACUAUCAAAUUCAUUGAUUUAAUGUAAUAUGUAAUUUUUCUUAUUUUAAAAAUUUAUAACUCUUAUCUUUAAUUAAAAAAAAAUACUUAAAAUUAUUAUUAUAGUAAGAAGUUUUUUACUUUAUAAUAUAUAAGACUGUUAAUUAAAAUAAUUUAUCAAUUACGCGUAUAAAUUAUAGUAUCCUCAUAUAAAUUGAAAAAAAAAUCAGUUAUCUCAAUUUUUUGGAUUAAAAAAUCAUACUUUAUAAUUACUUUUAGACACAGAAAUGUUAGCAAUUAAUUAUGCAAAUCAAAAUUAAGAUCCAAUUUUUUCUAGAUAUUUUUAUUUUAAUAAAAUAAAAUAAAAUUUUAAUGUAAAAAAUUACAUGAGGUCAAUAUCUCAUUAAAAUAGUCUGAUUAUCAAUAUAAAAAGUAUUUUAUAAAAAUUUAUGUUUGAAAAAAAUGUAGUAUCCAUCUUAGAUGUCACAUCAUUAGGCACACUUAGCAUUUAGGAAAAGGUGCUUGCUUUUUUUGUUAUUUUGAUCAUAUAGCCAACUUUUGAAGUUAUAUCAUACAAAUAAAUAUUCUAAAUUUUUUAUGAAAUGACAAUUUUUCCCUUGGUCAUCCUACAACUCAAUAUUCUAUAAUACUAGAUGGCCCGUACUCGUGCGAUGCACGGGCAUAUGCCAAUAUGUCCAAGAACUGACCAAAAGAGCUCUGAUGUUGAGAAUAAUAGUUUAUUUUCUUUUAGUUAUUUCGUAGUUGUGAAGAAAGAAAGCAAUACCAUAUUUGACAAUAUGCUUUACAGUAUGUACAUUCAUUUGUAAGAAUGGAAUUGUACAAGACAUUGCUGAAAUUGCUUUCACGAGAGAGAUAUAACCAAUUCUACUAUCCAUGUUUAUGUAGGAUGUGCCAACUAAUACAGAAGUGUGCCGCUAUAAUUGUGUAAAAUCUGAAUCGUAACAAUUCUCAUAUGUAUCAUAGUAUCCACUGAAAAAGAAAAUCACUCACUAGAAUCAUAAGAUAACAUACUUAUUAUCUAGCAUUAUCAAUGCCUAUCAAAAUAGAGGAAGAUAAAUAUCAAUUUUAAAAGUCAACAGAAUAAAAGCAAGAGAACUAUUAAAUUAAAACAAAAGGAAAAUAUAUUUGAAAAAUAUUAUAUCACAAUGGUAAACAAGAAGUAUAGUAUUACUACAUAGAUUUUGGGAAGUCCAAUCUAAAAGAUCAACCUAACUAACCUAGCAAUAAUACAAUUUCCAGCGACGUUAAGUAAUCUAAAAUAUGAACUAUUACGGUUCUUUAACUCCGCAAAUAGAUGACAAGCAUAAAUUGUUUAUAAGAAGCAAUUAUCUUGGAUUCUAGAUCAAUGAAGAGAAAAUUAUCUUAUUUUUUUUUACCAAAGUAGAUGGAAUUUUUCAAAAUAUUGUUUCUGUGUGAAACCUUGAAAGUGCAUAUACUUGAUUGUCAUUUAUGAAUAUCUUUUAAAUUGUUAACUGUAUCACAUAUAGUGAUAGUCAGAAGAAAUGAAAUUGACAUUACUAAUUACACCUUAAGCCUAUUGUAUCACAUUAAAUUGUUUACUGUAUCACAUAUAGUGAUAGUCAGAAGAAAUGAAUUGACAUUACUAAUCACACCUUAAGCCUACUUUUAUGUAUUCAUAAAGACUGGAUAGUAUCGAGGGUCUGUCGGGGAAGAGUCUCUCUACCUUUUUCCCCAAGGGAGGGGCAAGGUUGCAAAUAUUCUACCCUCCCUAGACCUAACUUGUGGGAUUACUCGGGAAUGUUAUUGUUGUUAAGAGUGGAAUAUAAUUUAUGAAAUAUUUGAAUAAACGAAGUUUAAAAAUCUUAAAAGAGCUUAAAAACAGCUUUUAGGCUCAUCCAAAUGUUCUCUUAAAGCUAACAUACAUGGGAGCUAUUUAAAUAACCACUAGCAUUGCUACUAGAUAAAACAAAACUUCUAAGGCUUUAACUUGUGUCAUGACUCUAAGGAAUUAGACCAAUGUAUUAACCUUCUCUAUAUAAAAUUUCUUCUUAUCAACCCAAGUUAAAUAAGAAACUCCAUUUCCACUACAAUUAAAAGAGGGAAUCAAUUAUAUUAUUAGAUUAAGGGCAUAACUUGAUUUGGAUGAGAUCGAAAACAUUAAAAAUAAAAUUAUGAUGAAUUAAAAACACAAAAGUCCAAAAGAGACAUCAAAAUUUUCAACUCUAUUUGACAUUGCAAUAGAGCGAGAAAAGUAAAAAAUAAUUUAAGGGAGAAAAAAAUUAGGACUUUCAAUGCACAUGUCCUUGUGUUGAUGCAAAAGUAUUUCUUCUUAAGAUCAUUCUAUUUGCUUAAUCAAGCUCAGAUAAUAAUGAAAUGAGAAACUACACAGAAAAGAUGCUACAUGCAAACUAUCAAUAACCAAUGGUAAGAGUUGUUUAUAAUAUAUGCAGAAGUGGCUGAUAUAUUCUCAUUUAGCAUGCUUAAUGUACCAAAAGAUUCCAACUCCUCAUAAAAAGAAAACAAAUUUAUAUUGUCAAUGUUAGGUGGAGAAUAUCAUUGUCAUUGCGAGCCCCGCAAAAAUAAAAUUUAAAGAAGAAAGUUCAAGCUUUUUUAGACAUCUUCGACACAUUCACUUUCAGGUCUCACCAAUUUUGUCAUAGAGAUCUUGGGACAUUAAAUUGCCAAAAUUAUCAUAAUUUUUCCAUCACUUCAAAAAAAAACACAUAUAUAUAUAUAUAUAUAUAUAUAUAUAUAUAUAUAUAUUAUUUCCUUAAAUUUGAUAUAGUAUUUCAAACUCACAUGACAGAUUAUCAAAUAUUACUGAAGGUCUUGAACAAAAAUCAAAACCUAGAUAAGUAAAACUAAAUAUGCUUCGUCACAUAUACAAAGACAAAAAAGGAAAAAUUAACUUAAUUAAAACACAUUUAAUUUUCAUAAACAACAAUUAUACCCCUUAUAUUAUUUAGGCCGUAAUCAAGGGUUCCACUGGAUUCCACUGCUUGAAUAUUAUCAUACAAAGCUUGCUCAACAAUGGUGGAAAAGUACCGUCCUAGAAACAUCUGAUCCCAGUGUCUCAUCUCCAAACAUAACUCUUUAUUGCAUCUACCCCUUCCACUCUUCGUCCAAUCUAAAUGGUUUUUGCAGACGUCUCUUAUCAUCCAGAUUGACUUGAGAAAUCAAUCUACAAGUGGCACUUCACCUGUGUGCUAGUUUACAGCCUCUGUCAAAAUAGUACUGGACAAUUCCUUCUCUUAUAUCCUUCUCAUCUUGGUGCAAAGUGAUCUUAGGCGUAUUUAUACACCUAAGUGCCAUUAUCUACAUGUGUUUAGCUUAGUUUUGAGGAUAACUUAGUGUGUUUAUGUGUGUAUUUAGUGAUAAUUGUAUAAACAGGUGCUAAGACUUAUGUUCCUGUGGUUUUAGGUGUAAUUAACCCAAAACAAGAGCCAAAAUGAUCAAAUAAGGAUUAGCAAGAUAACUAGUCAAGCCGGCCUAAGCUAUGCUUGUUCUAGUAUGCUUUUGAUAAGCUUUAUUGUAUUGUAUGGCUUAAUGUAUGUUAUGAGCUGUUGUUGGAGACAUGGAGCUACUUUAGGUGAUAAAUGAAGCUGCAUAUUAACCACAGUGGGUGGGUAAACAAGAAGCACGCUUGACGGGAAACAAGAAGCACGCUUUGCAUUCAGCUAGGCCACGUACCACCUUUUCAGGUUGGCCACUGGAUUGGCAUCAAAAGUAGCCAUGCCAUGCGCCCUCCACAGACAACUUAAGCCUCCGCGAUGCGCAACCCCUGAUCCUUUGGGGAAAAAGUGAUUCCUAGUCCUAGUUUGAGUGGGAAACAAGUUUGACCUAAUCCUUUUGGGACUUAGUUAUCACGACUCGGGGGCAAUAUAAAAACCUAAAUAUGCAGCGAAGAGGAAGAGAAAAAUUUGUGGCAGUCUACAACACAAAAUCACAACACACAACACAAGCUUGGGAGAAAAAUACAUUCAAGGAGGCUAACACUUGGUUUUAUACUUAGUUUGCGUUGGGGAACAAAACCACACGAAUUCACAACACAACACAAGGCUUGGGAGAAAACACCACCUCAAGUAGGCUAGAACAAGGGUUCUUGUUUUGUAACUUUAAACUCUCUUAAAUUUACUGUUUAAUUAUUGUCUUAUGAUUUUCAUGUAAGAUAAUGAGUGGCUAAGAAAUCCUUAUUCUUGCACUGAGGCUACAAACAAGAUUGUGUAGUUUGGUUUUAUAUUCGGUUUAUAGGUUUAUCACGUCAUGUGUUUGUUCUUAUGUUAUUGCACUUACUACUUUAAUAAUUAGCUACCAUUAAGGUAUCCUAAAGUAAUAGACCAUAGGGGCGGAGGGAUGGAAUGAAGAACAUAGGGAGUGUGGAUCCUAUCUUUAUUAAUUAGAGGCUAAUUGUAAAUGAGUGAUUUGUGGCUAGGAUAGAGAUAUACCUAGUGGCCUAACUUGGUUACAAAACAGAAAGAUAAGCAAUUGCAUCUGAAUUAAAGAAUCACAACCCCGCUCAAUGAUGUAGUUAUGAGUCUAUUUCGGUAGACGACUAAGAGGAUGACCAUUUCUGAGUUAUACUAUCAACCCCGUAAAUCAAAAAUCACGAUGAACUCCAACACCUGCUAGAAACCAUAAUUAUGCAUUACUGUGAAGUAUGUCUUGACCCUAAAAUCCUCUUUUUUAUUGCUCAUGCCCCAAGUUAUUAGUUUAGUUCAUACUUAGUUUAUACUUUGAAGCCAUCAUAUCUCUAAAUUUCACUGCUUGAAUCUAAUGGAUAGUUAAACGAUAAGUCCCUGGGUUAGACAUCCGGCUCUCAAAGAGUCACUAUAUUACUAGCUUGACCGCGUACACUUACGUGUGCCAAAGUUACAAUAAGUUUUUUGCGCCGUUGCCAGGGACUUAAAGAUUACUAGAUUUCUAGUUUUAAGUGUUGCUUGUUAUUUGAUAAGUGUUAACAACUUGGUCUUAGCCACUCAUCUUGAAGGUACAAGUUUGGCCAUUCAGUAAGCUGGCAAGGAAUAAGGAUUUGGUUCAACUAAAUCCUAAACCUGAGCAACGCUUGCACCGAUAAAAAAAAGCAAUUGCACUUCUCUACCAAUAAGGUUAAGCCAGAUCAACAGGUUGAGGUUGUUCCUGAAGUCAUGGCAACACCAAGGACAAUGUGCGAAGUGGCAAUCCCACUCGCAACUAAUGUUACUUCCGCCAUCUGCAAACCAAAACAUGGAGGUAGAUUUGAGCUGAAGCAGAACAUAGUGCAAUUUUUGCACAAGAAUGGACAGUUCAUGGGUCAGACUCAUAAGGACCAACAAGUCCAUCUUCAAAAUUUUCUAGAGUAUGGAACGGUAAAUGUAACUUCGGUACAGUAAUUUCGGUAUUCAGUUUUUAAAAACAUUAUACCAUUACCAUACCAUAUUAAUUCGGUAUGGUUUGGUAUUUUGACAUUUGGUUUCGGUAUUUUGAGGUAUGGUAAUCGGUAACCAUAGUUUGUUUAACUUUGACAAUAUAUACCGUAUACUAGAGUAUUAUUACUUUGACUUUUCAAAAGCAUGUCUUAAUUGUAUCAUAAAAAUGCAUUACACAUGUAAAAAUAUUGAAAAAGAAGUACAAACUAUUCCUUUUAUUAGUCAAUUACACCAACAAGACAUUCACUCAAGAUAGAGUAGUGAAAGUUUCAAAGUCUAAAUAUUUUUAUACUAAUACUAAGUAUUUUUUUGUGUAUAUAUAAAUAUAUAAAGGUUAUUUAUGUAACUAUAUAUACUUUGGUAUGGUAUUCAGUAUUUCGGUAUGUCAUUUGUAAAUACCAUAUACCAUACCAUAUACCAAAAUAGUUUAAAAUUUAUACUAUGUACUAUACCAAAUACCAUAAUACCAAAAACCACGGUAUCAAAAAUUUUGAUUCGGGAUGGUAAUUCGGUAUAUACCAUACCAUGUCCACCCCUAAUUGGCAUAGUAAUCUCAAAUUAGAGGAACUAAUACCUUACACUGGGACACGAAUGUCUCAAACUAGAGAAAUACUGACAUCUACUAUACUAAUGCUUCGUAUUAAAGGAAGAGUUGACAUCUUAAGAGGAUAUCUCAUCUUAGCUCUUUAGUGCAUCGAAUUGAUUCACUUAGCUCAUUGUACAAGGAAUUAUAAACUUGUUAAGAUUGUUGACAUAAUCAUCUGAACUAGAGAAGCUAAACAUCACAUAAUAGAGGAAUAUGAAUGUCUUAAACUGACAGAACCAAGACACACAACUUAACAUGUAAGUUCGACCUGAUAGGAGUGAUAACAAGUUUGACUCCACUGUGAAACAUAUAAUUCACCGAGACUCCCAACUUCUUCACUCGAUUGUAAGAUUUACCAUCGUUUGACACUUCUUUGUAAAACACAUGUAACGAUUUGUAUCGAAGUCGUAUUGAUUAGCGGUUUGUUUGAAUGGAAACUAGAUUCGUAGGACCUUAAUCUGGUGGAUAGUUCAACACCCAAUUCUUUAUAAAUUUAGAGAAAUACUCGUUCAAAGGUGGACCUUCUACAACUCGUUAAGAAAAUUCGUUUGUAUUGUCGUUUUCAACUUAACUUACGCUUCUGUAAAUCCUCAAUACUUUACUCCCAAUUUUAUUAUAUACUCACUAAUUAGCCCUUAGGUCUAUUCGCAACUUGGUCAUGUCUUAAUCGGGUAGAUUCUAAGAUGUCUAUAGCCAUACGAUAGCUCAUAUCAAACUCUUCUUUGCCCAGAAUAUUACUUGAAUCCUCUGCCUACGACUGGACAAUAUAAAUAGAGCCCAAGAUCAGAUAAACAAUAAUUGAAAUGAGUCUAGCUCUGAAGCACAAAAAGAAACACACCUUGGACCCAAAAACUAAUGUAGGAAACAUUGUUAAGGCCUCAGACCAUAUAAGGAGAUCGAGCAUCACUCCCACAACUGAUAUAAGACUCAACACGUAUGCCCAUGCCAAUACGGUAACACAUUCAAAUAAAAUGAGGUAAGUGACUCACCUUUUUCUAAGUCAACAUAGUUAAUGGAACAAUAAUAGAAGAGAAACUUUCCACAAACUUUAUAUAAUAACAGGCUAAACCCAAGAAGCUCCGAAUGCUAGUUGGAGUCAUGGGUCUAGGCAAUUUCUUAACCACCUUAACUUUUGUGGAUCCAAUAUAAUCCCAUUACUCAAAACAAAAUAAACCUGAUAAGUCACAGUAUUUAACAACAACUUAAGAAGGUCCUAAUCUCGAUUGGAGUCGUGGGUCUAGGCCAUUCCAUAACCAUCAUAGCUUUCAUGGAUUUGACAUGAUCCCUUCACUAGAAACAAAAUGAACCAGAUAAGUCAUAGUAUUUAACCAUAACUCACACAUGGAGAACUUUGCAGACAACCGAAGAUCAUUCAAGGUUUACAACACAAGGCAGAGGUUAUCAGCAUGAUCCACUUUUCUUUUAGAAUACACCAAAAUAUCAUUAAUAUAAAAAAUCACAAAUAAUUUCGAGAACUGACAGAAUACCCCAUUCAUAAAAUCCAUAAAUACUAUCGGGGAAUUAUUAAAACUAAAGGAGGUUGGUUUUACAUGCUCAGAAUUCAGCCAACUCAGGGCAGGUGUUUGGAGGUUGGGUUGGGUAACGGGGGUGGUCUCUAGUCUUGGAUGGACUUGGGACACCCAUUAUGAUAAGUCCCUAGGUGGGUCAUGUCAAAUAGCGACAAAAAUAUCAACAUCCAUAAAAUGAGUAGGCGAUACCCAAAUGAACAUCAAUAACAUGUACCACUAAAGAACCACAAUAAGGCUAACGUGACAAUAUAAAUUGGACUCGAUCUCAAAAGCUACAAUAAUAAGGGAAAUAUCAAUACAAAUCUACUCCAUCCAUAACUAAAAGAAAUAAACCACAGAGUAGUGAUAUAAUCAUGAAUUCAAUAAUAAGGCACACAAUAACCAAUAUGAGCUCAUCAAAGCAUGAAAUCAUCAAUGGGUAUGAAAACCCCAAUAUAUAUAAUAAAUGAAUAAAUAAAGGAAAUAAAAGAACACUAUCAUGAUAAAAUCUACAAUCCCAUGCUUGACAGACAUAGAGAGAAUAAAUGUGAAGGAGUCCAAACUCAGGCUGAUCGACAAAAUCAUCAACUGAGGAGCUAAAAAUACUAUCUCGAACUGAAGGUACCACAGUCAUCAUGAGGGUGCUCCAAAUGAGCUGAAAGACUAGCUAUCCCACAUCACGGACAUUCUCUAGACCAAAGGUCGAUCUCUCUACAGUCGUAGCAACCUUCUAAUGAUAACAUGGUAAGAACACAAAUUGAGCCCGAAUGGCUAGUGAACUAACACUGAGAGCACUUUCUACUACCAAUGAUCAUCCUUCCUACAAUGAUAGCCUAUCUUAAAAACUUUAGGCUGGCGGGGAGUACAUGCUAACUCUGUCUAAUCAUUAACUCACAUCUGGGGCACUCUCUAAACCGCUGCCAUAUCUCGUAGCAACCAAAACAAAAUCUCAAAUAAAAUACCAAUAAAACUAUACUGAUGGUGUGGCUUACCUCUAUAAGUACCAAUACAUGCUCUCUCUAUGAGCCUUGCAUAUCCACAACCUGAGAGAAAGAAUAUCCAGCUUCUAUCAAGUAAUUAGACACAAAAUAUAGUGACAAUGCUAAACUUCUUAUAAUUCCAUUCACCAUGUCAUGCUCUGAAGUAUAUAACAUAGGAAAAUGCCUGACCUAAUCUAGACACCCAAUCUUAUACUUAGAAACUUGUUAAAGCCCCUGAUGACCACCAUUAAACCCAACUCUAGUCUAAGGACUGCUAGAUGUUUGUAAUACUAUCCAUGGUUUAGAGGGAUCUGCAAUAUGAUUCAGAUCACCAAUAUUGAAUCUCAAAGGGCUGAAGUAGUCACAAGCUUAACUGGAGCUAAUCCUGACCCUAAAUCCUUUUGGCUGAUGUUAAAAGUGUUUGAUAUCCAUCUCAGUCUCUCUAGUCCGGUGUUACACUGAAACUUUAGAAAUACAUACUAAAGUAUCAUCUGCAUCUAUUGACAAUGUUACACAUAUUACAUCGUUCUUUGAGGAUAUAAUUCAAUCAAAGAAUAUGUUCGAGAUAUAUAGAAUAUGGAUACACAAAAAAAGUCAAGAAGUGAAUUUCCUAUAAUGUCCUUGUAGUCUCUCGAGGAUAGUUACGAUGUCUCUUCACCGAUCUGCAGGACUAGACUAAACACUUAGCUUUUAAACUAACACACCGAUGAAGCCUAGGCUCUGAAACAAAUUUUUCAUGACCUAAUUUCUUGGCUUUUGAUGGUACCUACUAUAACACACCAGUAGGUAAGUCAAACCCAUAGUCUAGUAUGGUUAGUAAUGGACUACUAAAUAAAAUAAGAAAAGAAUACUGAAUGAAUGUUACAAAAGAUCAACUAUAUAAAUAAAUCCCAAAACCUGGUGGUAUCAAUAUAAGAGAUGCUAAUAGUACAAAAGCACAAAGUAAAGUAUGUGAACACACUGAUAUAACUUAUCUCUCAAUACAACAAAUAUACUAGUCUAAUAUAUAAGGUAGGGAUAAGUAAUACUCCAAACGUCAAGAGCUCACUCUAAGUCUUCGAACCAUGCCUACUCUACACGACACACAAAUUAAAAUCAAUAAUUUAUACUAUGAUCUAUAGGUUACAGAAGAGUAGUAUGAGUAUUAAAUGAAUGGUACUCGAUAGGAAACUGCCAACUAAGCUCAAAAGAUAAAGUAGAUUUAUAUAAAAUUUAAAUAGAAUGGAAAUUAUACCAAAUGUUCAACAAACAAAAAAUAUCCAAUGAGAUAAUAAGGAUAACCUGUCCUAUUUAUGUCCAAUAGACUGACAUAAUAAGGUUAAGAAAGUUUCCAAGAUGAACUAUCCUAUCCCAGCCAUACAUAGAAAUCCCAACACUAUACCCUAUAUCCCUGGCCAAUAUACAAAUAAAAGACAAAGGAAGAUUAUAUAUAUAUAUCAAUAUGUAAGGCCAAGGAAUAAAUAUAAAAUAUGAACAAAUGAUGGAAGGGUAUAUGGUAAUACCAUAGCUACAUAUAGCUAGAUAUGCAUAUAUAUAUAUAUAUAUAAAGGCCUCAUUAUAAUCCUAUCUGGAUUUAGUACUAAUAUGCUCAGGGUUUCUAAUCUAUUUGUCUUAUUAGGAAUUUAUUAAGCAUAAUAAUGAAAUCGUAAGAUAGAAGAGGCUAGAAUCAUACCUCAAAUCUUGAUACCCAAUCAAUAAUAAUCUAUCAUAAGCUAGACAUAACCAUGAUCAUAAUAAUAAUAAUAAUAAUAAUAAUAAUAAUAAUAAUAAUAAUAUUAAUAACCAUAUGAUUAACCAACUAUUUCAGAUAACCAAACACCUAGCCGAGCCUAUGCGUACCCCGACCGACACAAGCUUGGAAGACUCAAGCAACAUAAAACAACACAAGACAUAGUCAUCACCCAUAUCAUAAAACCAUCCCAUACACAUAAAAGUAUGAAUGCAACAAAAUCCAUAAUAUCAUAAUACCAACAUCAUAGCCAUCAUCAUCAUAAUUAUCAUUUGGUUUUAUUGGGUAUCAAUAUAAUCAUCAAAACAUCAUUCAGCCUUUCUGGGAAUCAUUACAUCAUCAUAAUAUCCUCCGACCUUAUCGGGUAUGAUCACAUCAUCAUAAUAUGCUUCGGCCUUGCUGGGUAUCAUCAUAUCAUCAUAAUAUCCAAAUCAAUGUCAAUGAUAGAGAGUGACCUCCACGAGGUCUAAUCUGUAGAACAAUCCCUAGGAGAGAUAAAGUAAAGUGCAAGCCCCACAAGGAAUAAAGUAAGGAACAAACCCCAUGAGGGCUAAUGUAAAGUGCAAGCCUCACGAGGUCAAACUAUAUGAUCAUGAAAAAAGAAGCAAGGUAGAGUAUAUUUUCAUAAUUUAUCAUUCUUCAUCAAUAUCACAUCAUUAAUAAGUAUUUAUAUAAAAGGUUCACGGACACAAACCGUAGUUAAAAGUGUGUAAGUUCAUAAAUUCGUUGCCCAGAGUGAUAUACGAGACGAAGUCAUUGUAAAAAAUAUAGAAUGGGUCAAAAUCUGUCACAACUGGAGUAAUUAGUAUUAUCAAAUCAUAGACCAUAACUUAUCUAUGUCCAAUAUUUAAAAUAUCAUUAUUAACAUCUUUUACUUAUAGGUUAUUCAUUAAAUAUUGACAAUUAUUAUUAAGAAGAAAUCCAUUAUUAAGGUAGUAAGUGGGAUUUAACCCUUAGUUAGUGAAAACCAAAAUAAAAUUAUAAUCUAAUUGGAAUUGUAUCAACCAUCUAUGUAACAAUCAUGAAUGUACCAAAUCUAUGCAUCCUAUCACCAGUAAUCAAUUAUUGGAGUCAUAAACAUCAUACCGCAUCUUCUUUUAUCCCAUAUCAGAGAGAUGUGUGUGUGUGUGUGUAUAUAUAUAUAUAUUCAUAAACUAUAAUUGAUCUUUGUACAAGGAUAAACACUUCUGGGAUGGCCAACUCGUAACAUAACACGACCCUUGGCCCAAUAAUGUGUUAGAAAUAAUUACAACAUUAUAAUCAUCGCCUUAGUCCCAUACGUAUACAGAUCCUCUAUCAAUAAUCAUGUAUAUAUAAUUCAUAUCAUAACUAUAGACCAUAGCAUAAACACGAGGCAUAACAUCUCUAUAAGCUAUGAAUCAUAUCUAUAUUCAUCUCACAUAUAGGAUGCAUCUCACUUCUAGGAGUCAUAAUGCAUUAGUAAAGCAAAACUCAUAAUGAUGAGGCACAUAACAUCUAUUUGGCUUCUCAUGUCUAUAGGUCAUAUAUGAUGACUAUGAGAAAUAUCAUUUAUAUAGGACAAUUAUCAUACCCAAGAGGAAAUAACAUCUCUAAAGGCCCAAUAUCAGUUCUAAGAGGAAUAUCAACUCUAUAGGCUAGUAAUCAUAAUCUGGGCAAGUCAUCACGAUUUACCAAGAAACAAAAUUAGACUUAUUCUAAAGGUUCAAUAGUCUCAACUAAGCCCAAUAUCCGCAACUAAGUCCAAAAGGGCUAAUCUAAGUGUUGGGCGAAGGUGUGCUGAAAGAACCCACUUCUAAUCUUUAAUUUCCAUACUUAGGCAAUUUAUACCCCUAAACUAGACUAAGGUAUAUAGUUCUACUUUUAGAUUUUAAGUAAUCCAUAACCAAUCCUAAGAUAGGAAUUUCAUCAAGAAAUAAGGGCAUUUAUGUUAGUUCUACGUAAAAUAUGGUUUUAAGAUCACUAGACUAUCCAAACUAUGGUUAAUCAUACUAACAAUACUUCCAACACUUAAACCACAUUCGAAACCUUGCAUUAUAUCAUAUACAUGCUACUAAUUAGUCCAAUCUAGGGAGAGGGAAAAAAGGGUUCUACAAGGUAUAAGCUUUUCACCUUAUGGGUCCAAAACCAUCUUCUAAUCCCCAACUUCAAUACCCAAUACUAAGCUAUUCUAUUCAUAAUCAAGCUUCACAUUCGAAUUCACAUGCAAUAUAGGUCACAAAUCAUCUUACGAAGAAGAGUAGUCAGAAGCCUACCUCAAAGAUGAAGCACAUAAACUUGCAUCAUUCACCACACAUCCAUCUUAACUUUACAAUCCCAAAAAUGCCAUCACACAAUCAAAAUAAUAAUCUACUCAUUAAUACGAGUCUAACGAUACCCAUAUUACACUAUUGUGCUUUGGGUCAGAAAACAACACCAAAAACUCCAAGUGGAUUUCACUUACGGAAAACACAUUUUCAAGGUCAACCCAAUGUUCAUACAUGAACAUGGAACCAUAACCCUCAAGAAAUGGAUGGAAACAAGGCUAAUUUGGGGCUAAAAUAUAGCCCAAAGCUAAAUUGGGAUUUUGGGUCAAGAACCAAGAAUUUUACCUAAAAAUUGAUGAAAUCUUACCUUAUUUUCAAAUAUAUUUUCUAUAAUAGAUGAUAAUCAAGAUCCCAAGUCACCCACAAUGAUCAAUGUUUUGUUAUCUCACCCUUAUUGGCCUUCUAAGUUGCCAAGAUAAAGGAAAAAUGGAAAAAUCACGACUUGGGGUUCUAUUUAUAGCCCCUUCUAGUAUGGAGAUACUGUGAUCGACAUAGGCCUUGUCGCGAUCGCCAUGGCACCUGUACCAACAACAUGAAAACUUAUUUUUGACCCUCAGAACUCAUUCAGAGUCAGAUUUUGGCAAAUGAACUAUGUAACCCUACUAAAUUUGACAUUUCAAAUGUAUUGGUGAAUUUUAUUUUCCAUUCAAGGUGGAUUAUACAAAUUAUGGGUCCCACACCCUUAUUUCCUAAUUUUUCAACUUUUCAACCAAUAAGUCAAAAUGAGCUCGGAUGCAUUGGAACCUAAACCAAAGGUUUGACUAGCAUACGAUUGAUAUUCUAGAGAUGAUGGCACAAUUAGAAUUUGAAUCUGUGAUAGAUUUAUUAAAGUUUUUGCUCAGUGGCCAUUUGAAACCAUUGAAGACUUCCAAAAAGGGAAUUGGUUCUAAAAACCAAACAAACUGCCUAGUAACCAAACCUCAGUCCUAGCAUGUCAUAAAUAACUUGGGAAAGCUAUGAAGAAGCUCAAACGAUGAAUAUAAGCAUAAAUAUAAGAAUUGAAUUGAAUGGUCAUUAUAGAACUAUGCUACACUAUCAAAUUAAUACACUCUAGACAUAAUGGCGAUAUUUAUUGGCAUAAUCCAUUUUGCCAUCCGAUGCACAGAACAACAAAUGUUGACCAAAGUAAACUAAAAAUCCUUUUUAACUUCCAAAAAUCUUAAUCUUGAGCAAAUCACACAAAAAUUUAUUAGUAACUAAUUUUAUCAUCCUCACACUACAAAAAUACCAUAAAGAAGCCAUAUGAAAGGGUUAAAUGCUUAAAUCACAUAAAAAUGAAUAAUUUGUAAAAAUCACUAAAUAUAAAGUCAUUACACAUCGUCAUCCCAUUACUUACAAGUCAUAGUGUUUUUUUCAUAGAAUUUUUAUGGAGGCUAAUUUAUUACUCAGAAGAUUCAUAAACAAGACUACAUUUCGUACGGUCAGACAAAAUGAUUUUAAACACCUCUACAAAACCAUGACCAUAUGAAAAUUCAAGUAUGGUGGUAUUUUUAGUUAAAAAAUAUAACUUUAAAAGCAUACUCAUAAUCAAUAAUUUAAAAUCUUCAAAGAAGGUUAAAGGGAUUUCAUCAUUGAAACAACUUUUUAACAAAAUCAAUUUAAUUACUUACCCCAAGUAUGAAUUUGGUAGCAUAACAUUGACCCAUAAUAUCAGUUAUGAAGAAUAGGAAUAUUAAUAAGGACACAUAAACACUAAAUCUUAUAAUCAAAUAGGGAUAGAAAAAGUUAAAGAACUAUGAUUUACUGAAACACUUUUGUAGAAUAGUAUUUCUGCAUACCUUCAAAUGAGAAUUGGAAAAGAAUCCCUUUGGAGAAAUACCCUAUUCUUCGUUUCUCUUUAGACAUGAUAGUUGAGAUUUUUGAAGAAGAACAUCAGUGUUGGGUGAUAGAAAACAAUUGAUAAAUUAUGAAUAAAAAGAGUUUGUAAUUGUGUGAAAGGUUGGCAAAAAGGUAAAGAUGAAAUUACCGCUUUAAGGAGGAUUUUUUUAAAAGUCAUUUCUUUCAGCUAAAUGACCCACGCAACCCCCUAUCUUAAAUCUGUAGAUCUAUGCUUGCUUCUAGAAGUAUUCUUUAAUUGUCCAUGCAGCCUACAUGGCUGGUUAUACCCAUUUAGAUUUUUGUGGCUGUAUAAUUGCUACACCACCUUUUAUUAAAAUGAUAAUUACUUUUACUCCAAAGUUUGAUUAACUAUCGAGUACUGGCAUUGGAAAGAAGACUAGAAGAUCAUUGAUUUGUCAGGUUUUGAGUUGUAUAACUCUUAUUCUAAGUGGAGUCAUCAUUGAAGUUGAUCCUACUAGAAACUAAUAGUGUAACUUAAUUGGUAGUAAGGCCUUCAAUUCAACUUUAUGCUAGAGAUUUUUUAUGACCUUAAUUCACAUUCAAAAAACUUAACAUACUAAAAAAAUCAGUCUUGUCUUUUAUGUUAGACUUGAAAUCGUUAGGCUUAAGACUAUACAUCUACAAAGAAUGAUUCAAAUUCUAGUAUGAAAUUAUGGCGUAUUAUACAUAAAGAAUAUGAAAUGAUAGCCAAAAUUCGAUAUAUUCCAGUAAUAAUAUAGGACAUAUACUAAUUUAACUAUGCUAAAACUUCCUUCAUACAUUAUCUUGCCCAUGGAGCAUAAUUUGAUGCUAUUGUUGCAUCUCAGGUAAGAAUUAUGUAGAAUCUAAUAAAUUGAUUAAUCUCAAGUCUUUCCCAUGAGGUGUAACUUGUUUUUCAAAAUCCCGUGAACAAAGUUUGGCCUCUACAACAUUAUUUGAAGAGCAUCUCAUAAAAAUGUCAUAAAAAGGUAGUUUCAAGUCUUGCCCAUUUAACAUAGCUUGUUGUUUGGAAGACCUUGUGCAAAUUUUUGCCUCUAUGAAAUGAGUUACAGAUCAUCUAAUAAAUGAAUACACAAUGAGGUAGUUUCAUGUAUUGACAAAUAAGUGUAACUUUUUAUUUUCAAGUCUAUAAACUAUAUUCUAACUCUACAAAAAGAUUUAUGGAGUAUCUCAUAAGUCAAGUCAAUGUCAAGCCGUGCCCAUGAGGAUUAAUUUCUUGUUUAGAAGUCCUUGAUCUAUGUUUUUCCUCUAAGGAAAGAUUUAUAAAGCAUUUAUACCAUGGUCUAAAGUAUGAAUCUUGUUAUGACGAGCAUCCCAUUCCAUAAAAGGCCUAAGAUAAGGCCUUGGCAUUGUUAUAAUCAAGAUUGUAGAAACAAGUGUAUAAGAUAAAAAUUCAAUAGUUUAAACUAAGUAAUAUCCAUCUCUUAACAACUUAAUCUAAAAUAAUUACCCAACUCAGUAUACGAAACAUCUCACUUUAAGAAUAAACUCCUAGGUCGGGACAUGGCUCCGUCUAUAGAAUAAACAGAUGAAACAAUAGAAACAACUGUAAGAAAAACCAACGUCUUCCUUAUCAUGAAGGGUUCACCACCCUUCAUUAGUUUUUCCAUAAGAAAGAGUAUGAAGGUCUUAAUGUAGCACAAAUUCAUAGGAAUAUGUCUCUGAAGCUAUAUCAUAAAGGUAACAUUAGGGGACACUCAGUACUGGUAUGUAACCUAGGAAACAUGGAGAAAAUUUAUAUAAAGAAAGUCAUUGAAAUCAUAUAAUAAUUUGUAAAAGAAUAACAUGAAACAAGUCAUGUAAAUCAUAAUGACUUGACCAUUUAAAUCUUCGUUUUGAACUAUGUUGCUUUCCAUUGACAUCAUCUAACCCUCGGGAUAUAUAGGUCUGGCAACCCCCAACAAACAAGGCAUUAAUCCAUAUUUUUCGCUUGUACUGAUAUUAGGCUAAAGUCCCCAAUAGUCUAAAGUCACCAUUUUAUCCUCAUGGUAAGGAUACCAUCCAUCGUCCAAUUAAGGUACAUAAUCCCUGUAUGAGCAGAACAUAGAUUUUAGGCAUUGGUUAGGAGAACGUGUACCUACUAAAUGAACUACCUAAUUCCAUUUUAAGACCAAUUAACAUAUUUUUUCAAAAUCAUUCUUUUAUGGAGUGCAUUAUUAGUGCAUUCCCGUAUUGGUAUCGACAUACAAAGACUUGUAAGCCAUCCAUAUCAUGCCAAAUCAAUUUUUAUAAACAUUAAAGACUCACAACUCUAGAUUUAAAACUCAUAAACAUAGUCCCUAAGGUCUUUUGAAGAGUUAUUAAACCUUUCUUUAUUUUAUGCCAUACAUUAUUCAAAAGAUGGAGUGACAUCAUAAUCCUUAUUGAAAAAUUAUGUUCUUGAAAUGGGUUGAGGGUCAUAUAUUCAUCAAGCAUAUCUUACAAGUUGUGACACCAUUCUAACAAGUUCACCAUUUUCAUAGGUUAUAAUUACUUUGAAAAACCCAUUAAUGAUUCUUACAAAACCCUUAAAGCAAGAAGAAGAAUCAAUAUAAAGCGUUUCACAACAAUCUCCUCAACCAUAGUUUCAAAUAAUUUUUUGAGAACACAUAAUUGCCAAGUAGUAAAUUGACAUAAUAUAAUCAUACUUAAAGUAAAAAGUGUUCAACAUGCCUUUUGACUAAGAUCUUAGAAGAAGAGCCUUGAAACUUGAAUUUAGGAUCACCUUAUGCAACCUUGAGUUUUUCUUGGUCUUAGAAAAAACAAGAGAGGAAGAUUUAAUUUGACAUAGGGAAAACUUGGAUUAGAAAGAAUCAUGGAGAACUACUUUGAAUUAGGGAUCAUUUGAAUUUUAGAGAGGAUGAAAGGAGGGUUUCUGUUGAGACUCAGGGUAAUUAAAGGAGUAGGAAAAUAUUUAGAAUAGUUGGCGGGCAGUUUUAUGUACGAGAACAAUCAAAAGGACCUUAAAAUAUGUUGGGAACCCAAGGAUUCACCACUAGAAUAUCACCUCCGUGCCAUGAUGCUAUUGUGGAGGAUAGGCUUUGUGGCACGCUCUAGCACUGAGCUUAAGAUUUGUGGUACGAUCUUAUUGUGCACCCUCAUUGGUAAGCUUAUUACUUUUUAUGCCGAACUCAAAUUUGUGAGUCAUUUCUUGCAUUAGAAAGAAGACUUAAAGAACAUUAAUUAUACUAGUAAUGGGACACAUAAAUCUAAAAUUCGCUGAGAAAUGCUCAUUUAAUGUUUUCCCAAGUAAAAUCCAAUUGAAGAACUCAAUCGAUAGGAAACUUCUUAUCAUGACAUUGAGACAGGAGGUUUAUAAGACCUCAAUUAAUCUCUAAAGAUUUUUUCACACUAAAUAAUUAAUAUUCACAGCUAUAUAUAAAUUGAAAUCGUUGGGUUUGGGUUUGGGUUUAUGCACGUAUGAGGGAUGAUUCAAAUUCUAGCUAAAAAGUGUGGGGUUUUACUAUCUCAAAAGUCAAGACACAAUUAAAUAGUGUAAGUCUAGCCUAUGGGUCAUUAAUUGUUUUAUGGAAGUUUAUAUGGUGAGUUUUGUAUCUUAAGAUAGAGUUAUAGAGCAUCUCAUAAAUCAAAACAUAAUGAAAAGUUGGGGUCUAGGAAAAUAAUUUAUUGCUUUCAUUUCUUAACAUCCACCUAGAUAACUUCGCCAGAAACCAUAUGGCCAUGAAAUUUGGUCUAAAUUCACACAUAGAAAAUUUUGGAAAUAGCUUGCAAUACUAACGUACUUGCAAUACUAUUUUAAGUUUAUUUUGAUUCUCCCCGUCACACGUUUAGUGUACUAAUAUAUCAUCAAUGAAUAAUAUCAUAAACAUUUCAAAAUAAAGCUCGAAGACUCUAUUUAUAAUGUCCCACAAAGUUGUUGGUGUCACUUGUCAAACAAAAAUUCAUCAUGAGAAAUUCAAAGUGUCCAAAAUUUGUCCUAAUGGCUAUCUUUAGUAUAUAUUCCUCUAUAAUUUUCAACUGAUGAUAGGAUAUGAGGUAAACCUUUAAUAAACAGUUGGCAUCUUAAAGUUGAUCAACUAAAUCAUCAAUUAUAGAAAGGUAAUUAUUCCUAAUCAUGACUUUAUUUAACUGAUUAAGGCCAAUGACAUUCUCAAUGACCCAAUUUUCUUUUAGCUAAAUAACACCAGUGUCUCCCAAGACAAGAUUAUUAGCUUUAUUAAUACUUUGUCAAGGAGGUUGGUCCUUCAACUAAUCCCUCGAGUUUUUAAAAUCUAUCAAAUCCAUUCAAUAUAGAAGAAUUAAUAUUGACUUGGUGUUUGGAAGUUCAUCAACUUCAAAGUUGAUAGUCCUAUCUUGAGGAAUUAAGGGAAUUUCAUUUAGAAACACAUCUGGAUAUCUUUUUAUAACUAGUAGUUACUGAAGAGUGGGUACCUUGGCAUAUGUAUUAAUAAUUGAACUAUAUGGUAAAUACACACUUCAUAGAUUAGCUUCCUCAACUUAGGGUAUGAAAUAAACAUACACAUAGGUACAAUAAAUUUGUUCUAUUAUAAGAUUCGUUUAUCUGGGAAAUGAGCUUCAAAACUUUUGUAUGGAAGAUGAAAAAACAUAUCGCAAGGAUAGUCGAUCUUCCUUCCAAAUAUCAAUAGUAGACACAAAUAAUACAAAAUUCAUGACACAAUAGAUAAAAACCAUUAUUCACUUUUCAUACAAUCUUCCCAUAUCAAAGGUAUUUUAAUGUCAUUAAAAUAGUUUAGAAAUUUCAAGCCAAAAACUUGGUAAUCAAGCAAUCAUAUGAAGAAAGAUCAUUAUUUAAAAUGCAAGUACAACAAUUUCAUUAAAAAAUAACUGACUUUUAUGUACAUACAUCAUAGUAUUGAAUAAAAAUAUGAAUGCUCGAUGUGAGAUUUUUAGGACAUUCAAAAAAGCUUUAUAAGUGUUCUAAAGAGACAUACCGAAAAUUUACUAAAAACCCUCUUAAAUUUAUUUCCUAAACCUCAAAACUAUGAAAUCAAUUAUAAUGAUAAUAAUAAAAUCAUUGAUCAAAUUUCUUGAAUUCCUACUCUGUUUAGUUUUUUUAGUGGGAUACAUGAGUUCUAUAUCCCCCUGAUUUCUACGAUUAAGUGAUGGAUUUACCUCUCGAAUAUUCUCCAAAAGUUUACUUCAACCUUGAAAUCUAAGGAUAAGAAUAUGUUUCCAGCAUUAAUAUUUAAUAACUUGAUAUAUGGAUCAUUGAAAUCAAGUAUAAAUUUACCUUGUAUGAUUUGAGGAAGCCUUAAGAAGUUUUCCCACUAAAAGGUUGCCAAAAAUAAGUGAAAUAAAAAAUUUGACUAAAUUUCAUAUUUAUCAAUUUCCUAUCACAACUCAAUAUACUUUGCCUCGACCCAAAAUUGGAGUUCAUGGUGGCAUCUACCCUAUCUUGUAGUUAAUCCAAAAACCAACAAAAAAUAGAAUUAUGGAAAGUAGAUAAAUAGAAACCAAAUACAAGACUUUACAAUAAAGUUUUGCUAGAUAUAUGUAAAAUAACUCAAAAACCAAAAUAAAUAUAACUCAAAUAAAAAAAUCUAGUGUCAUGAGUAAAGAGUGAUAGUAAAUGACAUAUCAUAUAGAAGUACACAACUAUGUUUCUGAAAUGUAAAAUCAAAGAAAAGAUAAGGUUAUGAGAAAAUCUAUAAUCAUUCUCCGAAUGUGAAUCUCAUCAGUACUUUGAAAUAGCCUUAAUACUCCAAGACUCAAGUUGCAUGGGUCAAACUUUAACUGGGAUCUAUAACAAAAAGGGUGCAAAAUGUAGGAGCGAGUGUGCUUUAUCUGUACUUAGUAGGCAUGAUUGAAAAAAAUAGAAAACAAAGCAUAUAAGGAUAUAAUGAGCAAACUUCCACAUGCAUAAAAAUAGUUUCCAAUGAUGGCUCAAGCCGUAUCACCUAAUAAUAUAAGCAAUGAAACUAUAAUAAUAGUAUAAAUAUAAGGACACACAACUAUAUGUGUGUAAGACUAAAUUAAACAUUUAUGAACACAUAAGAUAAAUUUAAAUACUGCAAUAUUAUGAUAAGGAUUGAAUUUCACAAUAUCACCUCGUAUACACCAUCCUAGCAUAAGCUUCCAGGAUAGGACCCCUGUGGAUUUUGAAACCCAUAUACUAUCACAAUCAUCAAUCAACCAUGAUGGCACCUUCCUCUAUUACAUUAUUUUAUAAAGUUUCUCAUUUUUUAGAAUCAGUGUUUCUCAAUGGUUCUAGUUCUAUGAAUAUGAUUGAAUGAAAUUGUAAUGACACUUCUGGUCAUUUCAGGUAUGUUUGCUUAUUUUUUUCACUUAAAGAUUUCCUAUAGUUGUCCCAAGUCAUUUAUGACUUGCUGGAACAAAUAGUUCUAUUACGAGGCAGCUUGUUUAUUUUUUAGGGCUAGUUCUCUAUUUUGGAGCAUUCACUGUAUCAAACUGGCUACCGAGUGAAAAAAUAGUAAAGCAAUAUCAUAUGCCAAUUCUAAUAGUUUUAUUAGCUUUAGAACAUCAAUUUUAGAUUAUAUAGACCCUUGAUUCGGGUCUUAACGCUCCCAGACUUAUUUCAGACUAUUAGUCGGAUGUUUGAAAAUGACAGGUGGGUGUUGGACCAACUUUACAUUGAAAUAACCUUGGAUGGAAAUUUUGACUUUUUCAUUGAGUUUAGAAUAUAGAAUUUGAUGGGGUAUCAUAUUUUAUUUGUGCAUAUGGAAUUUCAAAUGAAUCUAAAGGGGUUGACACAAACUCAGAAAAAUUAAAGGUCUAUAAUUGGUGUUUGAUAUUUGGUGUGACGGCUAAAAUGAAUCCUUGGGCGCUUUAGGCAAGAGUGCAUUAAGGGAAUUUUGUGCACUUUAUCAGAGAGCACUUUAGCGGCCCCUUGGUUUCUUUAGAGUCCUUGAUCAUUUAAGUAUGUACCGCUUUAAAGGAACUUAGAUGCUUUAGCACCUAGCGCUAAAGCAUAACAUGGUCUAUUUUAGCAGCCUAAGUUAUGGGGUUGGAUACUGCUUUAGCGACACCAGGCAAUUUAUCGGUGAAAACUAAAUUUGACCAGUGUCCUCUUUAGUAGCACCUGCGUGUCUAGGAAGGGUAUAAAUCCCCACUUAGCCUAUUCUUCACCACCUUCACCCAUUAAACCAUAAAAAGUGGGACUUCUUAAGAGAAUCAAUUUUGUGUGAUUGUUGAGCUUUAUCAUCAAUAAUUUAUAUGAUUAUGCAUUGAAGUUGUAGUAUGAUUUCAUUAUUUUCAUGGUUGGUUCUUGGUCCAAAAUCCCUAAAAUCUUAGUGACUUGAUUUUAGCACAAUUAUAUAUUAGAAUACCCUUAUUUUUAGGGUAAAUGCUCCUUGAUCAUAGAGGGAUGUUGUGUUGAUUUUGAAAAUGCAAUAUCCAUUAAUGGGCUCCACAUGAUAUUUUCAUUUAAUUUUGGACCCAAGGUGAAUUAGUGCACUAUGGGCAUCAUAGUUCUUGUUGUGAUUCAUAGAUUGUGAUUUUUAUAUCAUAGCACCCUGCAGAAGCUUCUUUGAAAGGGAAAUCAGCGAUUUAGCAAAUUCUUUGAGCUUUUCUUAUCAUGUAGGUAGGCUAGAUUUACCUUCUUCAUGGAUUGACCUAUCUCACAGUAUUGUUAUAAUAUUAUGCUAGAUAUGGGGUGAGAUUUAAGUGUUGGAAGUGUGAAUGAGAAAAUUUGAUUUAGUUGGACCAUUUAGGCUAUAUGGAACCAUAAACUUAGAGUAAUUAGCAUAGAUAUUACUAUCUUAAGUGAAUUGGGGUUCAUUUUUCAUGUUUAGGAUGGAAAUGCCUUAGUUACUCAAUCUAGGUAAAAAUUACUAAGUCAUACAUUUUUAGGGUAGAAUUGUCCUUUGUUGCUUCAUUUAAGAGAAAUUUCAUUAGUUGCUAUUGAUUUAGGUAGGAUUUCCGUAGUUGUUUAUGUUUGGGAUAGAUUAAUAUCUUAGGGCACAUCUAGAAAUUAACUUAUAUACCUUAGCCUAGUUUGGGGUAGAAGUUGCCUUAAAUGGAUUUCAGGGAUUAAUAGUGGACCCCUUCGGUCCACCUUAGUUGAAGACUUGUAUUAGCCUUGUAGACUUAUUUGUGAAUGUUAUACUCUUACUAAUAGUUGGUUUGACACUUAAGGAAAUUAAAUAUAUUUAUUGAGAAUUUAAGUUGGAUACUAAAAGGUUGAUGCUUUUUCAGGUAAUGCUAAUUUCUAUAUGUUGUUUUGAUGAUAAACAGCUGAAUGGGAAGGGACCAGGUCCCUGGACAUACAAGGUACAAUAUAGUUGGUAGCAUAAUCUGCACAAUUUUGUCCUCUUGUGUAACAAACUUACAAGUGCUAUUUUGUAUGGACUUGGACAACUGGUCCAAUGAUCUUUAAGUACUAAUCAUCCCUCAUCUAUAAAAUUGAUGAGAUGACUCUUCAUCAAAUGAGGUUUUUGCACAAAUCUAAAAAGUGAUGAAAGGCAGUGUAAACUCUAUUUUUCAAGACUAUUCAAGCAUAGCUGAUGAUAUUAUCCUUAUAAUAUGCUUAAAGAGUGAGUUAGCGAGUGUUCUUGAGCGCUAAAUUAUAAAUGAACUACUCAUGCUAUAAGAGUAAUGUUUUUAUUUUAAGUAGAGAGUGCUUAGGUAAAGUUGACUGAUCUUGAAGAUGAUUAGAGUUAAUUAGUGCAGAGAUAGAGUCCUUUGUGGUGUUACCAAAAUGAGCAUGUAGUAGAGUUGCUACUAGCAUAAGGAGCCUAGAGGUAGGCUGAAAUCUAGACUGUAAUAAAGAGGUUGAUUAUAUUAGAUUUCUUUGGUGCUUUUGAGGGAAAGCCGUUGCUUUUUCCUUGCUAGGUUUCCACAUAAAAAUCCUUGUGCAUUUACUCUUUUAGCGCUGUCCUAAUUUUUCCUGCACUCAUUUGUUUGAUUACUUGUGAUUGAUGUAAGGGAACUGGUCCCUUAUUGUGUGGUGCAGACCCCCAAGGGUUUCAUAAAUUUGUACCGGAGCAAGGUCACUCUAAAAGGUUUACUCCUAGUGUGUCUUGGUGAGUAUGGCUGCUCCACGUAACUUGAAAGAAGGUUAAUCAACCAAUAGAUCACCUAAAUUCAAUGAAUAAUAUUAUGGGUGGUGGAAAACUAUAAUGUUUGACUUUGUUAUGGCUGAAGAUAAUGAACUGAUGGACAUAAUCCUUGAUGGUCCUCAUAUUCUAGUGAAUAUUGUCAAUAAGGUGGAUUGACAAGAAUGGAAGUCAAGGGCUGGAGAGAGUUCAAUGGUGAAAAUAGAAGGAAGAUAUAGAAAAACUACAAGGCUAAGAAAUUAUUAGUGUGAGGAAUAAGGCCUAAUGAAUAUAAUAGGAUCUCAGAUUGUGAAAAUGCUAAAGAGUCUGGGAUUUGUUGAGGAUUGCACAUGAAGGUACUACUAAUAUGAAGGAUUAAAAAGUAGACAUGUUGACUACUCAAAAUGAAACCUUCACCAUGAAAGAAGAAGAAAUUAUCCAAGAAAUGCAUACAAGGUUCACUGCAAUCAUAAAUGAGCUCCAUUGCUUAGGAUAGGUGAUUCCAGUGUAUAUUAUUGUAAGAAAGAUUCUGGGUGUUCUUCCUAAGUGUUGGAAAAGCAAAGUGGAUUCUAUAAAUGAUGCUAGAAACUUGAAGAUCCUCACUAUGGAUGAACUGAUUGGAAAUUUAAAAACCUAUGAAAUCAAGAAGCAAUAAGGAAUGAAGAAGAAUGAUACAAAAAGAGAAAAAUUCCUAGCAUUGAAGGCUUCUAAAUAUGAUCCAGUUGACGAUGAAGACAGUGAUGUUGUGUAUCUGGAAAAUAGGAUUAUUAGAGCCAUGAAAAAGAGUGGUUAAUUCCAAAGAAGAGGAAAAAAUACUGAAGUAUUUCACAAAUGUAGAAGUCUUGAAAAUGUCAUCAAGGACUGUACCAUGCACAAAAUGGAUCAUAAGGAUUAACUCAAGGCUGUAAAUGAUAAAGGAAAGAUCAAGGACCAGGUCCCUGAAAAGUCAAGAAGAAAGGAAACAGUUGAGUAUGUUGUAAUGCAAGAUCUAGGAGCAUGGGAAUAUUCUUCCAGUUACUCAGAUGAAGAUGAGAAUACUGGAUAUGUUUUUAGGAAAGUAGUGGAAGAGGUACAGUUAUCUAUGUUUCCUUGUUUGCACUCAGGGAAGACACUGAAUAAGAAAAAGAAAAAGAGGUAACUCUAUCUGAUAUUAAGGAGAAUCUAGAUAAUUACAUUGUUAGGAAGAUAUAAAGGCUUGAAAAUAUGUUGUUAGACUUUGUAUGUGAACUAACCACUGAGAAGAAUGCCUCAGAAGAAGAAGUUAAGGAUCAAAAGAAUGACAAAUUAAGAGAAUAACAUCAUUCCUUUAACUCUCAAAAUUUAUGAAACUGAAAAGUUGUUCAGAAAGACAAUCUCUAAAAAUAAGAGUCUAAUGCACAAUAUAAAAGAAAGUAAAUAGUGUAGAUGGCAAAGAGAAUAAGGAAGCCUCAAGGCAUCAGAUUGAUCUUGAGAAGAAAUUGAAAGCUUCAUAAAACACCUUAUGAUAGAACUUCACAAGAAUGAAGAAUUAAAGAAGGACCUAAUCUGUUUGAAAGAAGAGUUGAAAAAGUCUCUAAUUGGACUACUUCCUUACUAAUCCUUUCUAACAUUACUAGUCAAGGUGUAGGUGAUUGUAGACGUUUGGGCUAUCAAGGAGAAAUGUAACUUGUUAAGCAUAAAGGAAAGGGUGUUCAUCAUAUUAUAAGCAAAGGGGAUAAACUCUUGUGUACUCACUGUGGAAGAGAUAGACAUUUGAAGGAAUAAUGUCAAUAUAUGUGUAAGCUAAAUUAAGGAGUACUGAAUACACUCAGAAAGAGAAUGAACAUUCCAAGGGCUUCAAGUCUCUAAAAAGGCCAACAAGAAAGCCAUCACUGCCUAGAUGGGAAAAAAAGAUAUAAUCACACCAUUAUCUUCCUACUAGGAACUCAAACUCAAAUGGGUUCCAAAAAUAAAAUUGUGUUUAUGAUUCCAGGGAUGAGGAGAGGGAUUGUAGUUAGGAAUAGCUUAUUGAUUGAAAGGCUUCAAAGCUUAAAAAUAAGAAGACUGACUGUGUUCUCUCUAUCAAGACACUUCAAAUAGAAGUGUCACAUGUUGAACUGGUGGAGUUUAAAGGACCUCGUCCCUAGCAAAAUAAAGCUAAAAUUCUCAGUGUGAAAAUUGCAUAGAGCUCAUGAUCAGUUAGAAAAGCUAUUGAUCCCUAUUGUCAGUACAGCCUCAGAAAUUGAAGAAUUCAUUUAUUAUAAUAGUGAAAGCCUGAAAAGUGCAGAUAAAAGUGAUGUUAAUUAAAAAUUAUGAGUUUAGGAUCUACUUCUCAAGCUCAUUUUAAGAAGAAAUCACAAUAUCAUGUGGUGUAAUGAAUCUAACAAGCUCAUGCUUGGGUUAAUCAAAUCAGCCUAAUCUACUAUCAAGUGAAUCAGUGUCUCUCACAAAAUUGGCUAUGUUUUGGAGGCAGGUAUCCUUGGUAAACUAGGUAGAUGUAGGUCUAACUCAGUAUCAUACCCUUGUAGGUAUACACCCAUGGGAAUAAAUUUUAAGAUGGGAAGAUGUGACUAGCACAAAGAUAAAAAUUCACUCAGAUUAGAGAGGGACUUGGUCCCAUCUCUCAGGUUAGUAUCUUUUAUGUACAAAUUUUAUUUGUUCUAUCAAGAAAAAGACGUUUCCCUCUUGUCCUAGCAUCAGAACAAAAUUGUCCUAUUCUAAAACGGAAGGUAAGUCACCUAAAAACCUAUAUAGAUCAUAUCCUAUUUCCACAGAAAACCCUUCCUUCUGGUUACUGUUCACUUAAAUCCAGUAGAAAUCAUUGGAAGAGACCAGGUCCCAAGACGUGUAAGGUACAAUACAACUGGCAUGCGUCAUCUGCACCAUUUUGUCAUCUUGUGUAAAAAGGUUGAAAGUGCUAUAUUGUACUGACUUGGACAAUUGGUCCAAUGAUCAGUUAGCCCUAAUCAUCACUCAUAUAUAAAAGGGAAGCGACGUUUCUUUAUCAAAUGAGAUUUUUGCACAAAUCUAAAGAGUGAAGAAAGGUAGUAAAAUCUCUAUUUUUAGGACAGCUCAAGCAUAGAUCAUGAUCUCAUCUUUGUAAUAUUAUUAAAGAGUGAGUGAGUGAGUGUUAUUGAGUGUUGAAUUAUUAAUUAACUACUCAUGCUAUAAGAGUAGUGUUUACAUUUGAAGUAGAGAAUGUGUAGGUAGAGUUACCUAAGCUUGAUGUUGACUAGUGUUAACUAGUGUAGAGAGAUUCCUUGGUAGAGUUACAAAGAUGAACUUGUGGUAGAGUAUAAUACCCCAUAUUUUUCCUAGCUUAAAUUCAUUCCUAAAAUAUUAAGGGAUAUAUUCCAAAAUAAAUAAUAUUUAUUCCAUGUUCAAUUUUCAAGAUUUCGAAUUUUCGUUGUGUUGGAAAUUGAAUAAGCUUUGCAUCGAUACCAAAUUCACCUAAAUCUGAUACGCGGUGAAGGACUUAUGGGAUUUUUAAGUUGACAGUGUGUCACCUGGACUCUCAGCAAAUCGCGGAGCUAAGCAAAUCGGAAGUUGUCAAAUUCCAGUGAGACUCCGAUAUCCCUCCACAUCGUGGAGGAGUCCCAAUUCACAGUUGUUAAUUUCCAGCAAGCCUACGCGAUAGUGGAACGUUGCGCCAGUUGCCAGAAUGACAAAACUAUAGGGCACCAUGAUAGAUCCAUGUAAUGGAGAAAGCCCAGUUCCCAUUCAUCCUUUUCCAGUAAGCCACCGCGAUUGUGGCGCCUCACGGUGGCCACCCAAAUUGGAAAAAUUCUAUGUUUUCAUAUCCAUCCAGAAAUUUAAAAAGGGCAUUUUGGUCAAUUCCCAAGCCCCCAAUCCGUCCAAACGUAAAAUUUAAGACUAUUCUAAGCACUUUAGAAUUAUAUUCAUCAAUUUUCUCUCAAAGAAAAAUCCACCUUCUCUAAGAAAUCAAAUUCCACCAUGGUUUCUCAAAGAAACCUUAAGAUUGAGGAUUCCCAGCACAAGAUAAUCAAGAAUCCAUCUUCAAGAACUCAAAUAGGAAUCAAUAAUUCAAGCUUCUUCAUCUAAUCAUUAAUCAAGGUAUGUGGGGUCAUGAACAAGGAUAAUUCUUUCAUCCUUGUGCCCAAAACUUAUUUUAAAUUACAAAGUUAUUUGAUUUUAUAUUAUUUUUCAUGAAUUUGAAAUUAGGGUUCAUACCCAAUGUUUCCUUUUACAAGAUUAUGAGAUUUCAAGAGAAUUAUAAGAUGAAUUGCAUGUCUAUUUUCAUAUUUACAUGCUUAUUGUAGUAAUUUCUAGAUUUUGAGAUGAAUUUUCAUUGUUUUCAUUAUCAAGCAUAAUUAUUAUGAUGCUUUUACGUGAGUUUUAUUUAUGGGUUGCUAAGCCCCAAGUUUAUAUGUUGAGAUUUUGAGAAUGAUGAUA
rnacentral:lncRNA from 1 species